rnacentral:rRNA from 1 species
UACGUAGGGAGCAAGCUUUGUCCGGAAUCAUUGGGCGUAAAGCGCGCGUAGGUGGCUUCGUAAGUCCGUUGUGAAAGUCAAAGGCUCAACCUUUGAAAGCCGAUGGAUACUGCGGAGCUAGAGUACGGAAGAGGCGAGUGGAAUUCCUGGUGUAGCGGUGGAAUGCGCAGAUAUCAGGAGGAACACCAAUAGCGAAGGCAGCUCGCUGGGACGUUACUGACACUGAGGCGCGAAAGCGUGGGGAGCGAACAGG